rnacentral:lncRNA from 1 species
AAUAAUAAUAAUAAUAAUAAAGACAGAAAAAAUGAGUUGGGGUCAGGGGAGAUGCAAGAUCUGCCUGAAGCGGGGUCGGGGCUUGGCCAUUUUCUGCGCCUGUCGCUUUAUGGCCUCUCCUCCUGCGGCCCAGGCCAGCGGCUCUCAGGGAGUGAGCGGAGGUGAUUGGCGGCUCACUCGGCCCUGCCAUUGAUGACUGCGGGGUUCUAAUCUCCAGGAAACACAAGGGGCUGCCGUGGCCAUUUAGGGGUUCGGCCUGGGUUCGUGUCUGCUGUCGCCCCGCGCGGCAGGUUAACCGCGUGUAAACGUUGCUAGGCGAGAAGAGUGCAUCGGCAGAGAAGGGGGUUCAGACUCAAUUCCGUGUCAGAAAAGCGCGGGGCUUUCCCAUUGCUCUGCCCCUGGAUUGCGAGAGAAAGAAAGGUGCCGGCAGUCUCAAGAGAAAGGAGUCAGAUAAAAGAAAUAAAAUGUCUGCCUGUUUCCCAGGGCGUUGUUUGUUCCCGCGGGAGGAAAGCCACGAGUUACAGGGGCAGUGAGAGGGAGACUUCUCUGAGUUAUUUUUUGUCUAGGACUUUACCGAUUUCCCGGCCCAGGGGUUCAGCGAGCAGGCAGGCCCUGGGGCUGAGCCUGUUAUCUCGCCGCCAGCUCUAACCUCGAGGCGUUUGUACCCCCGGCAUUUCUCUGCGCUGCCGCUGCAGCCGAGAAAGCCGGGCAGUAAUUCAUGCCUGGCAAGGGCAGGGCUGGCCCCAGCAGAUAAAGCUCGGGGACUGGCGCUCCGCUUCCAUCCUCUAGACUUCUCUCCCCUCCCCUCUCGCUCCAUCUCCCCUCAUUUUCAGGCAUCCUAAAGCACUCCCCGCCCCCAAGUAGAGGGCCUCUGCAUUUCGGAUCCUGAAGAUGGAUUAUCCUUCGUCUACUUUCUGGGCAACUAAACUGGUGGUGGGUUUAGCUGGUUUUUUUUUUCCCCCAAAAUUUUGCGGGGGUUGGGGGGAUGGAGGCAGGGAUGGUGGUGUUGCUAAGUAUACACCACUCCCGUGCAAAGAUUAAUUUUUAGAAGGACCCCGUCCUAAAGACGGUUAUCCCUAUCUGGGUAUUGCUGCACCGGUUGGAAGAGCCUGGAGGCUGACUUCUCACUUCGGCAUUUGUUGUCGCCUCCGUCGGGUUUUUGUUUAUGCUCCCUCCCUCUCUUUCCACUGCAUUUUGUGACCUCGGCCCAGGAAUCCCGCGUGCAUUUUUUAAAAAUGUGCAGCUCAGUGGGAUCCCCCGGCAAUUAGCGAGCCCCAAACAGUCCUCUUUAAUAGAAUGAAUGUGCUAUGAAAACCGAUUACCC